CAGGAUGUAGCUAAGACAGAAUAAAGCAUCUCAUUUACACCGAGAAGCCGCCCGUGCAAAUCGGACCAUCCUGA
rnacentral:tRNA from 1 species